rnacentral:rRNA from 1 species
AGUGAACGCUGGCGGUAGGCCUAACACAUGCAAGUCGAACGGCAGCACAGUAAGAGCUUGCUCUUACGGGUGGCGAGUGGCGGACGGGUGAGGAAUACAUCGGAAUCUACUUUUUCGUGGGGGAUAACGUAGGGAAACUUACGCUAAUACCGCAUACGACCUACGGGUGAAAGCAGGGGAUCUUCGGACCUUGCGCGAUUGAAUGAGCCGAUGUCGGAUUAGCUAGUUGGCGGGGUAAAGGCCCACCAAGGCGACGAUGCGUAGCUGGUCUGAGAGGAUGAUCAGCCAAACUGGAACUGAGACACGGUCCAGACUCCUACGGGAGGCAGCAGUGGGGAAUAUUGGACAAUGGGCGCAAGCCUGAUCCAGCCAUACCGCGUGGGUGAAGAAGGCCUUCGGGUUGUAAAGCCCUUUUGUUGGGAAAGAAAAGCAGCAGGUUAAUACCCCGCUGUUCUGACGGUACCCAAAGAAUAAGCACCGGCUAACUUCGUG